rnacentral:lncRNA from 10 species
CUUGACAUUCAUGUCAUAUGGAAAACUGAAGGAGCAGAGGGAGGCAUUUAUUUCCAGAAGAGGUCAGAGAGCAUAAUCAGGGGACAGAGACUGAAUAUUUGGCUUUCUUAGAAGACUGGGUUUUUAUUAAAGAGGUGGUUCUCCUUUCAAAUUAGUCUUAUGUCUCCCAAGAAAGACAUCAUGGGAAUGUCAAGAUUGAUCCAUUAGUAUCUUUUGUCUGUCAUCUAAGUGCUGCUCUUAGGAUGAUUAGAGUGUCAGAAAGGUGA